rnacentral:misc_RNA from 1 species
GUGAAUCAUCAAAUCUUUGAACGCAUAUUGCACUCUCUUCGGAGAGUAUGCCUGUUUGAGGGUCAGCCUAAAAAAAAAUCGACGUAGUCGCUGUUUUGCGGUGACAUUCGUCGGAAAUUUGGUCAUCUUAAACCUUUGGGUUUUUUAAACGGCUUAAAAUUUUCUUUAAGAUUCCACGAACGUUUCUAAGAUUUUACUUUUUAACACAGUUUAAGGUUUAGAUCUUUUUUUAACGGGGCCGUUU